UGCUAUCCCGUUGUUGAACCUUAGGUUAGUUUCAAGUUUAGUUGUAGAUUCACAUUCUUAAGUUCGAUCUUUGGUUGUUCAAGCUUAGAGGUUGAUUUUGAGUGAUUUUUGGCCAAAUUAAUUAGGGUUUUGUUUGAGUUUUGCCCUGCCGAAGUUUCAGAAAUAUUUUGAGUUAAAAUUUGAGUAAGUUUUGGAUCCUGAUUAGGUUAUGCUGGUCAAGUGUUGGUCUGUUGAUAAUUUCCAGAGGGUAACUGGGAAUAUUUCGAGUGGGUGAGGUGUUAUUGAAAUCAUUUGGGUCAAAUUGGUGUUUGGUUUGAGGUUCUAUCAUUUGCUGAGUUCAGUUUUGACUCUGGCUGAAGGUGUCAACUGAUUUUGGUUUCAUUUGGGUUCAUUUUGAUGUGGUUUUGUUGGUUUGUUGUUCUGUGCUUGGCUUUAAAUUAAUUCUGGGCAGUUGAAACUACUGGACUGCAUCUGGUUCCUGUUGAUGUUGCCGCUGAUCUCCUUUUUUUUCUAUUGAAUUUCUGAAUCAGGUACACAACUGUAACUUUGCAAAUUUGUAAGCUGGAAACGUUGAGCAUGAACUUAUAUGAAG
rnacentral:lncRNA from 1 species